rnacentral:rRNA from 1 species
UGGUGGAGUGAUUUGUCUGGUUAAUUCCGUUAACGAACGAGACCUCGACCUGCUAAAUAGUUCGCAUCUCGUUUCGAUGAGGUGACGUGACUUCUUAGAGGGACUAUCGGUGUGUAGCCGACGGAAGUUCGAGGCAAUAACA